GGGCGCAUAGCUCAGCGGGAGAGCGCCACGUUGACAUCGUGGAGGUCCCUGGUUCAAUCCCAGGUGCGCCCACCA
rnacentral:tRNA from 1 species